rnacentral:rRNA from 1 species
CGACGCGAGGCACGCGGCAGCCUACUCAAUCAACCCAACCAUUUCCAUCCAGAUCCCAAAUCAAAACCGACGCAGCAUUUCCGCAGGAUCUCGGCCCCUCCUCCUCCUCCGCCUUCUCCAAUCCACACUCCCACUCCCCCAUUCCAACCACCCCCGACGCCGGCCAUGACGGGCACCAUCGCGAAUGGCGUGGCGGCGCCAACUGCCCCGGGGCUCCGCGAGAAGGCCGCCGCGGCGCCGCUGCCCGAGGAGCUGGCCCCGGAGGUGGUGGAGGGAGAGAGGGAGAUCGUGCUGGGGAGGAACAUGCACGCCUCCUGCUUCGCGGUCAAGGAGCCCGACGCCGACGACGAGUUCACCGGCGAGCGCGAGGCCACCAUGGCCGGCGUCCUCGCGCGCUACCGCCGCUCCCUCGUCGAGCGCACCAAGCACCACCUCGGCUACCCAUACAAUCUGGACUUUGAGUACGGUGCUCUCUCCCAGCUGCAGCACUUCUCCAUUAACAACCUGGGCGACCCAUUCAUCGAGAGCAACUAUGGCGUGCACUCCAGGCAGUUUGAAGUGGGUGUGUUGGAUUGGUUUGCUCGCCUUUGGGACCUCGAAAAGGAUGAAUAUUGGGGAUACAUUACGAACUGUGGCACCGAAGGAAAUCUGCAUGGGAUCCUUGUCGGAAGGGAAGUUUUCCCUGAUGGGAUCUUGUAUGCCUCUCGUGAUUCACACUACUCGGUGUUCAAAGCAGCGAGAAUGUACAGGAUGGAUUGCGUUAAAGUGGAUACUCUUGUCUCUGGAGAAAUAGAUUGUGCAGAUUUUGGAAGAAAGCUACUUGAAAACAAAGAUAAACCUGCUAUUAUUAAUGUCAACAUUGGGACAACUGUCAAGGGAGCAGUUGAUGAUCUUGACUUGGUUAUCGAAACACUUGAAAAAAGUGGGUUCAAGGAUCGGUUUUAUAUACACUGUGACGGUGCUCUGUUUGGUCUGAUGAUGCCAUUUGUUAAGCAGGCACCUAGGGUAUCCUUUAAGAAGCCCAUUGGGAGUGUGAGCGUGUCUGGUCACAAGUUUGUUGGAUGUCCCAUGCCCUGUGGUGUCCAGAUAACAAGGUUGAAUCACAUAAAUGCCCUUUCUAGCAAUGUUGAGUAUCUAGCUUCACGAGAUGCUACAAUCAUGGGAAGCAGGAAUGGUCAUGCUCCCAUCUUCCUAUGGUACACCCUGAACAGGAAAGGUUAUAGAGGUUUUCAGAAGGAAGUUCAGAAGUGCUUGAGAAAUGCACAUUACCUGAAAGAUCGGCUCAAGGAUGCUGGAAUUAGUGCGAUGCUUAACGAGCUCAGUAGUACAGUAGUUUUUGAGAGGCCAAAGGACGAGGAGUUUGUGCGACGGUGGCAGCUUGCUUGUGAGGGAGGUAUAUCACAUGUUGUGGUAAUGCCCAGCGUCAAUGUUGAUAAGCUGGAUACUUUCUUAAAUGAGUUGGUGGAGAAGCGGGUAACCUGGUACCAGGAAGGAAAAUGCCAAUCUCCUUGCAUUGCAGCUGAUGUAGGCCAGGAGAACUGUCUUUGUACUCUGCACAAGUCAUAAGUUUGUCAGGAGACACUCUCUGUGAGUGAUACUUGAGUAUUUUUACAUUGGUUGGUGUCGUAUUUACCACCUUCCAAUCGUGCAUCCUUUAUUGUUCAUUUAAAUUUAGUCCUCGCUCUAUGUCUUUAUGAGACAGGUCUUAGCACGGUAGCAUGCUGAGCUUUAUGUGUUGUAUUCAUCGUCUGUCUUCAUCUGUUCUUCCAAUAAAGUUCUGUGCAAAUGAUGUAUCCAAAUGAAGUUACUGGUAUCUUGUCCUGUAUCGGCAUGCCAUAUUCGUA